AAAAAAACUAUGACAAGAUAAGUACAAUAAGCAGCGAUUUAAAGAGAGCUCAUGAUGGUGUGAAUUGAGUAAUUGACGUUAUUAGAAAAUGGUCUUCGAGUUUAUUUGUUAGUGAGUCUUUUAGAUAAACUAACAACGUAUGCCUACGAUAUAGGGAUAGGAAUCGGUUUUUGGUUCUGACUAGAGGUGAGAAAAAAGUUUUUUUCUCAUAAACUAAGGUGGUAACACGUGAGCUCAAAGCUUUCGUCCUUUUA
rnacentral:ncRNA from 1 species